rnacentral:rRNA from 1 species
GUGAGUAACACGUAGGUAAUCUGCCGUAGAGUGGGGGAUAACCCAUGGAAACAUGGACUAAUACCGCAUAUACUCUUGACACAUAAGUGUAGUAGAGGAAAGGAGUAAUCCGCUUUACGAUGAGCCUGCGGCCUAUUAGCCUGUUGGUGAGAUAAAAGCCCACCAAAGCUACGAUAGGUAGCCGACCUGAGAGGGUGACCGGCCACAUUGGGACUGAGAUACGGCCCAGACUCCUACGGGAGGCAGCAGCUGAGAAUCUUCCACAAUGGACGAAAGUCUGAUGGAGCGACAUCGCGUGAGGGAUGAAGGCCUUCGGGUUGUAAACCUUGGAAAUUAUCGAAGAAUGAGUGACAGUAGAUAAUGUAAGCCUCGGCUAACUACGUGCCAGCAGCCGCGGUAAUACGUAGGAGGCAAACGUUGCUCGGAUUUACUGGGCGUAAAGGGUGAGUAGGCGGAACUAUAAGUCUAAGGUGAAAUAUCGAAGCUCAACUUCGGAAACGCCUCGGAUACUGUGGUU